rnacentral:rRNA from 1 species
UGGGGAAUAUUGCACAAUGGGGGAAACCCUGAUGCAGCGACGCCGCGUGAACGAAGAAGGUAUUCGUAUCGUAAAGUUCUGUCCUAUGGGAAGAUAAUGACAGUACCAUAGAAGAAAGCUCCGGCUAAAUACGUGCCAGCAGCCGCGGUAAUACGUAUGGAGCGAGCGUUGUCCGGAAUUAUUGGGCGUAAAGGGUACGCAGGCGGUUUAAUAAGUCGAAUGUUAAAGAUCGGGGCUCAACCCCGCAAAGCAUUGGAAACUGAUAAACUUGAGUAGUGGAGAGGAAAGUGGAAUUCCUAGUGUAGUGGUGAAAGACGUAGAUAUUAGGAGGAAUACCAGUAGCGAAGGCGACUUUCUGGACACAAACUGACGCUGAGGUACGAAAGCGUGGGAAGCAAACAGG